CACAGCCACUAACAUCUCCUCUAUCUUUCUUCUCUAUCUUCUCACACCAUGCACAUCUCGCUGUCCACCACCGGCCGCCGGAGAAGAGCGGAAGACCGGCGACUUGGGCGGCGCCCUGUGCAGGCAUGUUGUUCAGCCAGCCGGUCGCGACGCUGGCCAAGUUCAACCUCGAGCAUGGCAGUGGCCCGGACAUCUACGGCAUCUUGGAGAUCGACGGCUUCAACUUGCUAUGCGGCUCGCCGGCGUGAUGCGUGUGCGUUGUCCGGCGUUGUACGUACGUGUGUUGUGUUUGCAUGUUGAUGCAUGCAUGCUUGUGUAUUGCCUAUUGAUGUAUGUGUGUGGCUUCGCCGGCGGUAUGCGCGUACAUGCUUUGGAUUAGAAGCUCGCCGCCUGAUGUGUAAAUGUACUGACGAGAUGAGCAACUAGACAACGAUAGAUAGACCCGUCCGUCGUCUUGAGCCCCGCCCCUACCGCAAGCGCGACGAGCUCCGGUCAUGAUCGAGCGUCCCCGGCUGUGUCUUUUUUUUUCUGUAAAAAAGCUUUACCGAGUGCACCAUUCGGACAAACAUUUGUGACACCUGGCAAACUAACUGAUUUCCUC
rnacentral:rRNA from 1 species